rnacentral:lncRNA from 1 species
CCUCACAGCCCUCAAGAGGAACCUGCCCUGCAGACACCUUGAUUUCCGACGUGGCCUCCAGCCCUGGAAGUGGCUAAGUGCCUGAAGGGAGGAUGACCACAGCCACGUGAGGCAGAGGACAGAUGGAUGAGGAAGACAGAAGGUCCUGAGACCAGCCCAGUGCCUGCCCGGCCCCUCACAGACACUCUGUAAAUAUUUGUGGGAAUCAGCACAAGUGAUUUUCUGGAAGCCACUAACCAGGAGUGAGCAGAGCCAGGCAAAGAAGCGUGGACACCCUCAGAGGCUCUGUCUGACAGUGCAAGGGGCUGAUAUUUAUCAGGAAAUGUGACAGAUGUGCUGUGUGAACCAGGAAGACCUGUCAGUGCCCUCGGCCGUAAUUAGCCGCUACUUCACUCUCCCAGGGAGGCCACUGAGGACUCUGGGCUCUGCCUUUGCAGUGGGAUGUCCGUCCACCCCUGCUCUUCUCCCAGGAGGAGCAGCUGCCCGUGACCUUGGACUUCAGCAGGAGAAGAUGAUCCUCUGGAAUGUGAUUAUCUUCAUCUUGAAGAGUACUAAUUAUGGUUGCUUUCCUUUUUUUUUUUUUUUUUUUGAGACAAAGUCUUGCUCUGUCGCCCAGGCUGGAGUGCAGUGGUGCCAUAUCAGCUCACUGCAGCCUCCGCUUCCCAGGUUCAAGCAAUUAUCAUGCCUCAGCCUCCUGAGUAGCUGGGAUUACAGGUACAUGCCACUACACCCAGCUAAUUUUUGUAUUUUUAGUAGAGUCGGGGUUUCACCAUGUUGGUCAGUCUGGUCUUGAACUCCUGACCUCAAGUGAUUUGCCCGCCUCGGCCUCCCAAAGUGCUGGGAUUACAGGCGUGAGCCACUGUGCCCGGCCAAUUAUUGUCACUUUUCAAACCCAGGGACACUCAGCUCUGGGGAAGGCACAGCCCCUUGCAUGUCCUGGGAGUUUCCUGUGACCUGGUAGGAUGAGGAACAGUUUCUUGGGGCUGAAGUGGGGAUGCUAUGCCCUCAUUAAGGAUGCUCUGUACAGUGAGACCCGUGUUUUCCCUGGUGGCAGUGACAGCCACCUGAGCUCUGCACAUUCCCUAGGGCCAGGUCACUAAGGUCGUGUGUGGCCACUCUAGACUGGCCAUGCUGCGGCUCCUCACCCAACACAUGCACAUGCAUGUGUGCACACACCUACUCCCAUUCCAUAAGCUCGGUGCAGCAGAUGUGGCCACUUCAAUUACACAGCAGUGCAGUGGGCUCUGUGGCUCAGUAUCCCCCGGGGAGCAGGAGGCCCCGCGGUUUGCAGUGAGGUGUGGAGAAUGGAGCGGGCUCGGUGGUGUUAAUGAC